AUACGUAGGGGCCUGACGUUGUUCGGAAUCAUUGGGCGUAAAGGGCGCGCAGGCGGCCGUCCAAGUCCGGUGUUAAAUGGUCGGGCUCAACCCGAUCAUGCGCUGGAAACUGGGCGGCUUGAGUCCCGUAGGGGAUGCCGGAAUUCCAGGUGUAGGGGUGAAAUCUGUAGAUAUCUGGAAGAACACCGAUGGCGAAGGCAGGCAUCUGGCCGGAGACUGACGCUGAGGCGCGAAGGCGCGGGGAGCGAACAGGUUUAGAUACCCUGGUAGUCCGCGCAGUAAACGAUGCGCACCAGGUGUCGGGCGGCAGCGCCCGGUACCGGAGCUAACGCGAUGAGUGCGCCGCCUGGGGAGUAUGCCCGCAAGGGUGAAACUCAAAGGAAUUGACGGGG
rnacentral:rRNA from 1 species